GGGCAAUUAGCUCAGUUGGUUAGAGCGCUUCCUUGACAUGGAAGAGGUCACAGGUUCGACUCCUGUAUUGCCCA
rnacentral:tRNA from 1 species